rnacentral:lncRNA from 1 species
AUCACAUACACAUAAACCUACACAACACACUGACAUCAUACACACAGACACCACACACAUAAACCCACACAACACACCAACAUCACACACAGUCACCACACACACAUAAACCCAUACACAACACACCAAAAUCAGACACACACAUAAACCCACACACAACACACUGACAUCACACACACUGACAUGAUGCACAAAUAUACACCCACACACAACACACUGACAUCACACACACAGACACCACACACACACACAAUCCCACACAAAACACACCAUCAGACACAGACAUCACACACACACACAUAAACCCACACACAACACACUGAUAUCACACACACCAACAUCACACACAAACAUAGACCCACACACAACACACCAACAUCACAAACACAGACACCACACACACACAUAAAUCCUUACACAACACGCUGACAUCACACACACAGACACUAUAUACACACACAAACCCACACAACACACCGACAUCACACACACAGACACUAUGUACACAAACAUCACCCACAGACACCAGAUGCACACACCACACACACUCAAACUUCUCUCUUACACACACUCUUCCAUCACACCCUCACAGAGUCAUGACACAUGAGCAUACUACACACAUAUCACACAAAUAUUCACAGACACACAGACAACCCCCCCCACACACACAAUGCACACACCACACAACUGUCUCCCCGGGCCCACACCCUGUCCAUAUACAGACCAUGGAGAGCAAGAAGGGCUGAAGCUGGUCUUGCCCCUGCCUCCUGGAGGAGGAGGGUGCACCUGAAAACAGACCCAGCAAGAGAUGGGAGCCCCGGGAGCAGCCCAACUCCAGGUCCUCUGCAGAAGUGUCCUAGCCGCCACCAGGCUGCCCUGCAUGGCUCAGCAGUUUCCAGUGCCAGGCUGCAGGGAGGUGUGUGGGGCUGGAAUGCGAAGGCAGCAGAAACCGCCCUGCUCACUCUGACGUCAAAGAAGGGAGGGAGCCAUGGGCAGUUGUGGCAGCUGUGGUUCUAUACCGGUCCCAGAUCUCACUGCCCAUCUGCUUCCCUGCACCCGUAGGGCCUGCUGAGCUGGGCAGGGCAGCCUGGUGGCAGCUGGGUCACUCCUGCAGAGGACCUGGAGUGGGGCUGCUCCCAGGGCUUCCAUCUCUUGCUGGGUCUGGUUUCAGGUGCA